UACGUAGGGGGCUAGCGUUGUUCGGAAUCAUUGGGCGUAAAGGGCGUGUAGGCGGUUUGCUAAGUCAUGUGUGAAAUCCCUCGGCUUAACCGGGGAACGACGCAUGAAACUGGCAAGCUAGAGUACCAAAGAGGGGGGUGGAAUUCCCGGUGUAGCGGUGAAAUGCGUAGAUAUCAAGAGGAACACCUGAGGUGAAGACGGGUUGCUGGGCCGACACUGACGCUGAGUGCGCGAAAGCCAGGGGAGCAAACGGG
rnacentral:rRNA from 1 species